GACGAACCGAGCGAACGUUGUUCGGAAUCACUGGGCUUAAAGGGCGCGUAGGCGGGUGCUCAAGUCCGGGGUGAAAUCCUCCAGCUCAACUGGAGAACUGCCUCGGAUACUGGGUGCCUCGAGGGUGGUAGGGGGUAUGCGGAACUAUCGGUGGAGCGGUGAAAUGCGUUGAUAUCGAUAGGAACUCCGGUGGCGAAGGCGGCAUACUGGACCACAUCUGACGCUGAGGCGCGAAAGCCAGGGGAGCAAACGGG
rnacentral:rRNA from 1 species